rnacentral:rRNA from 1 species
CCUACGGGUGGCAGCAGUGGGGAAUAUUCGGCAAUGGGCGCAAGCCUGACCGAGCAACGCCGCGUGAGGGAAGAAGGCCCUCGGGUUGUAAACUUCUUUUAACAGGGACGAAGAAAGUGACGGUACCUGAUGAAUAAGCCACGGCUAACUACGUGCCAGCAGCCGCGGUAAUACGUAGGUGGCAAGCGUUAUCCGGAUUUACUGGGUGUAAAGGGCGUGUAGGCGGGGGAGCAAGUCAGACGUGAAAUUCCAGGGCUCAACCCUGGAACUGCGUUUGAAACUGUUCUUCUUGAGUGAUGGAGAGGCAGGCGGAAUUCCGGGUGUAGCGGUGAAAUGCGUAGAUAUACGGAGGAACACCAGUGGCGAAGGCGGCCUGCUGGACAUUAACUGACGCUGAGGCGCGAAAGCGUGGGGAGCAAACAGGAUUAGAUACCCGGGUAGUC